rnacentral:rRNA from 1 species
CCCUUAGAUGUUCUGGGCUGCACGCGCGCUACACUGAAGCGUUCAACGAGUAUUCACCUUGCCCGGGAGGGUUGGGUAAUCUUUUGAAAACGCUUCGUGAUGGGGAUAGAUUAUUGCAAUUAUUAAUCUUCAACGAGGAAUUCCUAGUAAGCGCGAGUCAUCAGCUCGUGCUGAUUACGUCCCUGCCCUUUGUACACACCGCCCGUCGCUGCAACUGAUUGGGUGACCUGGUGAACAUCUUGGACCGGUCCACUCAAUUUCGAGAGGACUGGAAAAGGCCGUAAAUCAGGUACAUCUAGAAAUUGCAAAAGUCGUAACA